rnacentral:tRNA from 1 species
GGGGAUUUGGCUCAGCGGUAGAGCGCUUGCCUAGCAAGCGCAAGGCCCUGGGUUCGGUUCCCAGCUCCA